ensembl:lncRNA
AACACAGGAAGAAUUCGUUGAAGAAUCAAUUAUUUCUAUAAAAAGAAUCACGCAAAAAUUGUCAUUUUCUGUCCCAUUAUGUCAACACUUACUUUCUUUACACAUGAGGCACAUUUUUAUUGUUUGUAUUAUUUCUACUAGCUGGCAAAUAAGAAUGAAGUAGCUUGCUUAAACCAUCAAAUAUUUUUGCCAUUCAGAUGAGUCGCCUAUGUAAGCAGAUAUAUUCAGCCUGCAAAGACUCACAACAUGGCUUAAAGCAAUAAAAGCAUAACCUCAGAUGGGAAGUCUGAUGAAGCUUGUUGUAGAACCAGCAUCCCUGGUUCCAUCUGAAAUCAAAGCAAUUCUUUCUUUUGUCGUAUUCGUUCAUUUCUGUUAUUCUGUUAAUGGUGUAACUGGUGUGAUACAUUUCCAACUCAUUGGGUUCAAUUGUCAGACACACUGCGAGGCCAAUUGUUUCUGCUCAGCAGCUUCUCUCUGGCGGGAGCAGGAUCACGCUCGUACAUGUUAACUGUUGUUUGUUCCCAUGGGCUAACAGCUAGAAGUUGAAAAAAAUUCACUGACAAGUUCAGGUGAAUUGCCUGCCGCAAUACCAAUAUUCAGAUGCUAAAUUAUUAAUAUCAGAGAGAGAAGUAAAAAAAAAAAAUCCCCAAAAAAGCGAAUUGACUUGUUUGGUGCACACCUGGACUUAUUUUUUUUUAAUGCCGCACAGAUGUUUUCUGGCAGGUCCCUUCUUCAGCCUGCUUCUCUAUCAGUCAUGUUUAACACAUUGUUUCCUUUGUGUUUAGCACUACUAGUGAUGCUUCUGUGUCAGUCAUGUUUAACACAUUGUUUCCUUUGUGUUUAGCACUACUAGUGACAGUGAUCUUAGACGCGGCUGACAGUAAGACAUUUAUGGCCUAUUUCUGUGGGUAAUCGUUCCCUCAUGUACAGGAUUCAUCUCCAUAUCAUCUCUCCAUUUAUGCAUCCGGCUCAGCAGUUUCCAGGGUUUACUAAAAGCGGACACAUUUGAAAGAAAUGAAAUCACCAUUGGUAUUCGGUCAGUAAAGGUAUAAUUAUCAGUGGCUAUCAAAUGUACGCUCGAUGGAAGUGUUCACUUGAUGGAAAAGGGAAGCUGCACAUUGGAGCCCUAUCAUUGAACACAAUUAAGCUGCUCUCCUGCUGUUAAUGAAUAAAUACAGCGCAUGUUAGUAUGUGCCCCACUGCUGGGAGGCCAGUGACUUUUUUCCAUUGAUAAUGGACUGGCUGGCAGUUACGGCUGUUUUGGAACUGUAACAGGUGUUCUAAUCCCCACAGGACAUGAACACAAAUGUGUCCUUUUGCUAGGUUUGUCGGCUUGAAGGUACAAUAUACAAUGCUGACACGAUCCUGCUAUAUAAAUAUCUUUGCAGUGAAAUUCACUGCCUAUUUGUGGAUUGCUUUGUGUAGGGCACAAUUAUGAGGAAAGUUGUUUUUCUCAGUCCAAACCUUUGUACGCUACAACAGUAUUGGGUGACAUUCAUAAACCAAAUGUUGUCAGAUAUUGUCAUGAUAGCUACUUGAGGUGGUUUCAUUCCCAAAUUCCCUCUUUUAACCUUGUAGGUCUAAAAUACCGCCCAUCUUCUGGUAAAAUGUGGGGAUGGCUUCUUGUCAUCUGUUGUGAACGUUUGCAGUUAAAAGACACCACUAGCCAUUUCCGUGUUAAACACGAGUACACAAGAGUGUUUAUGUGGCUUAAGGCUCGGCACAAUACACGAGUACACAAGAGUGUUUAUGUGGCUUAAGGCUCGGCUUGACCUUGCAUGAGGACAUGGCAGUAAUGACCCAGUCGUUGUGAGGUCCUCUUAACUGGCCACAGAUGGCGGAUCAUCUCUGAGACUGCUCAGUGGGCACUGGCAUGAUCAUCCUCUGCUAGUUUUCAAACCCGCUUUAUGACCUGCUAUCCAGCCGAAAGAGAGGACAGGUCUCCAUGGUCACUGACGCCAAGGCUUAUACUGUAUAUACUGUAAAUAAUAAGGACUAUUGUUGGUACCGCAUGUCUCUGCCGCUUAAGGCACUUUCGCUCACAUGGAAUCUAUAAUUGAUAUAAAUUAUGUUUUAAUGUGUUUAUUGUUUUGCAUUAAUGACUGUGAUGCUUUCAUCUUUUAAGAGCUCGGAGACACCAGAACACAAGACACGUCAGGGGCACUUGACCCCUCCUUGUUCUUCCCUGCUCCUGUCCUAAUCCAGUGAUUUCAGCAAGAUAUUAAAAGGACGUAUCCAGAAGGACACGCAGGAAGGACGUGAGAUUGCACACCUUUUCAGACUCUGCAGAUUAAUGUCUGAACUGAAUGCUUAAACCUGUUAUAGCUGCCCCGAGCAUUUGACUUUCCUUUGUACAUUAUGAAUUGGCCGCCUUGGCAAGAUAGUGAUUCAAUUACACACAGCUUUUUUGAUACGAAAUUGAACAAAAUGAAUGAUGUCAUUUUCUUGAUAAAUUAAUAAAAAUCCAAAUGAUUUUUUCCUUUCAGAUUUUCAGUGUUUGUAGUUUAGUAUUUUGUAUGGAAAUGAUGCAUUUAGGCAACUCAUCUGUAUGCAGACCAUAUAUUUGUGGCUUAGUUGUGAGCAAGGGCUCUCCAUUGGCAUACAUGGUUAAAUUUAUAGUCCUUGUUUUCUCCUGUAGAACUAAUGGCCGCUGUCUCCCCUCUUCCUUGGAGGGUUGUGAGGAGAACAUGAGUAAUAGUGGAGAGGGGAAGAGGGCCAGUCCCGGGCCUCCACUUCAGCCACAGACAUGCUAUUGGUCGAACCUGCAGCCCCAGGCUUUAUUACAGAGCCAUGCCAUCCAUAUUGGAGAGGGAGGUCAUGGACUUGUGCGCAAGAGGGGGGUUUCAUUUUGUGUAAUGCCAUGCUUCAUAUGUCCAGAGGUACCAUCAUUUCUAAUCUUGGCAUUUAUUCAACCAAUUUAUAAUAUUUUCAUUACUGGUAAUGGGUAAUUGGUUAAAUAUUGAGGUGUGGUGGAAAGCAGAAGGUAAAUCCACCGUAGAACUAUACAGCUUCUGAUUGGUGUAAACACACGGGUGUUCAACGUAUAACAAAUAGGAUGUGUGCUGAGGAUAUUGUACAUAAUUACCAACAACUUAUCCAGCUGCUGUUAUUUCAAAGCCAGCGAAUGAAUACAUCUUUAAAUGGUAAACUGAACGCCUGACAUAACAUGGAUGCUGCCACUUUGUCACCCAUGUGAGCUUGUAAGACAAUAGAGAAUCAUUAUGAUGUGUUUACACCAGAUAAUGUAUUGCAAAGAGAAACAUUUUAUUUCAUUUUCUGCUGCCUGAAUUUCCAAAAGAUGAUAAAGAUUCAACUUGAAUAGGUUCCACGCUGUUUGAAAGACGUUUUUCUUCUGUUACCCGACGGGGCUUUCAUACAUAUUUCUGCUUUUGAAGCUUGUUUUUUUUUUCUUUAAAGGGUCAGUAUCAUAUCAAAUACUUGUCAGAUCUUUUGACCUGGUAGACCCAGGUCUGACAUUUUUACAAAAGAAAGGUCAUUUCAGAAAGAACAGUCAAGAGCUUUGGACCAAAAAAGCCUGUAGUGUCGAAAAGUGCUGUGCAUGUUGGUUGUCACGUCUCAAAGUUUGAUAUUUUCUUGCUGACACAAAGCAAGCCAGCUGGAGUAGAGAAGGUAGGAGCAGAAAAGGCCAAGUGGAAAAUUACUAUACUACAUCUUUUACAGCUUUUGAGCAAAAUGUGAUAACACCAUGUACAGUUUCCUAAUACCAUGUUCAGAUUUUGACAUUGACAUGAACAUGGCAUAGAGUCUUAGUAACAGAAAAGUUUAAAAAAAAAAUAUGUAUCUGGUGCUUUCUAACAGUUCUUCAGCUUCUCCCCAGAGAACAACUCUUUUAACCCUUUAAUGCCUCCCGUUAACUGUCAUUUGUAGAGGUCUAUGGAAUCCUUUGGCUUCGAGCUUCAUAGCAAUUUUCAACUCUAAAGAGCUCUUGUAUCAUAGAACCCCAAGAGAAUUUAAACCUGUAAUGGUUCUUUAUAUAUAUUUAUAUUUAUUAUUCUGAUAGUGGUGUAUAACAGAGCUAUUUCAGUGUGUAAAGGGCUUAUUUGCCUAGAAAUGCCCAGUCAUUUUCUGAACAAACUCAUAUCACUAACAAAUAUGAGCAUUUGUGUAUGUGUACGUGUUACACAAAAUGUGUUGGCCAAAAAAGAAAAACUGUUUUAAUUUCCAUUGGAAAAAGAGCUGCUAAAAUAUUCUACAGACAUUUCCUUUUGAGUAAUGUAGACAAACAAACCAAAUUAUUAGUGAUCAAGUAAAUGAAGGGGUGUUAAUUGUAAUUCACAAGGCCCCCUUAGGUAGCAUUUCAUUAUACCAUUGUCACAAUUCCAAUUCCUGAUAUUUCUGCAUAAUGAGACACCCUAUAUGCACUUGGUCAAAACCGUUGCAAUAAAUCUAUACUCUGGACAAGCCAUUUUAAGGAGCAUCCAUCAAUAAAACCAAUUUGCGGACUGAUGCUACGCUAAAGUAAUAACACAUUUGUAUUUAAAAGGACAUAUCAAAAACAAGAUCAUUUUGAUGAACACAUGGAGAUACAAUCUUAGAUUGUCCAAAUGACUAUUCAGUAACCAUGGCAUUAAUAGGAUACACAAUGCUAUUCAGUAACCAUGGCAUUAAUAGGAUACACAAUGCUACACAUUGAAUCCAGGCAUUAUGUGUGCAGCAUUAACGACAACAGCAAACUAGCAUCACAGAAAACAUGGGUGUGAUGAGCAAUGUUUUGGUUGUUUGGGACAGUCUAAGUCAAUCUAGAGCCUCGUGAGAGAGGAGCUCAACAUAGCCGUGCUGUUUCAAAGAGAAAACAGCAGAGGUGAGAGGUUAUUUGACACUGUGUCAAAUAACUUGUCAACUGUGGGUGGAUUUCAGGAGGAAAGCCACCGACUUGUAAGCUCUCACCAACAUUCCGUAUCAAAAUCUAAACAAGAUUGUCCCUGGAUUGUGUACUGUUGUCACAAAGUGCUAGAGUCAUGUCUGACCCUGUAAGUACACUGUGGUGACAAACAAUACAUUACUUCAUGUUUCCCCUUCAGUGCCUACAUGGCACGUAGGCGAUCAUUGUCAUAUAGAAAUCUUUCUCUCAGCAUAAAAUGUUCUUACUCAUGUUGAUAUUCAGAUACAAAAUACUAUGUCUGUCCAAAGCACAUCUUCUACAAGAAAAUCCAAUAGUUAAUGUGGCUGGAGUUUGCUCUCUUUCAACACACAGCAAAUAGGCUAAAGACAAACAAAAAAAAACUAAUCAAAGAUCUUUCUUAACAAUUAAACACUGGAUGUUUCCGGAUGGCUUGGGGGGCCCUAUUUAUCUGAUUAAAUUCCUGACCAAUAAUUGGCCAUGUGCAUAUGUAAAGUGUUAGAUGCAGAGCCUAAUCUUUUUUUGAUAGGCUAUUGCUUUUGUUGGUCUGCCUAAGUUGCAGCAGAAAUGAAGAUCUAGCUGUUUCAGAGUUACUUACAAGUCUCAGUUUCAGUGGCUGAAAUCUGAUAUGCCCUUCAUCCUUUUCCACAGUUUGACACAAAAGAGUAAGAACACAGCAUUGCUGCUGGUGGUGUGAAUUGGGUAAGUCCAGUCUCUCAUGCACACUCUUUGUAUUCAAAAAAAGCCCAGACAGGGAUCAACUGGGAUUAGAAAAGCUUAUCUGGGCAGCGUUACAUUCACAUUCAGUCAUUUAGCAGACAUGUUUAUCUGAAGCGAUUUUCGCAUUGAACUCAGCACCUUGGUAUUAACCUACUACUGCUCUACCGGUUCAGCGACGGAAAUACAGAUUUGGAGUAAGUGGAGGAACACAGUGGCAAUCGGUGAUGGAUUGUGGAACAAUUGAUUCCUUUCUACGGGAAUGAUAGCUGUAAAUUCAACUGAGGAGGUGUGAUCUCACACUUUCUCUGGACAGCAUUUACAUUGUAUGGCCAAUGAGACCUAUUUCAAAGACUAUACACGCCAGUCUGUUCAAAUGGAACGCGUCCAACAGCUUGACCCAAUGGCCUACCCGUUGAUCCAAUAUACUGGAAGAGAUAGAAGACAAGCUAUUACAUAACAAGUUGGAGUGCAGGAACCGAGUUUAGUUCUUGUGAACUCACCAACAUAAGCAAGAUUUCAGAUGUGGUAUAUCUGGCAGUUCUAGUCAACAGAGGUUUUCAGCUUUGUCUUUCUCACUCGUAUAUGUCACAUGUAUGGUAUUCUGUUACCAACAUGAUUGAGUACCCCUACUACAUAAAUUCUGUUGACAUAUCUGUUAGCUCAUCCAUAGAGGCUUCUCUAAAUUACAUAGGAUUAAAAAAAGGGGGUCUGUCACACACGAUUCUCUCCCUAAUGUGCUUGCCAUGGCUCACUAGCCCGUAUACCAAAGUUAAAUAACCUGGCA